GGGGCAUCUGGGGACCAAGCCCAGGGUCCUGUCCUCAUUACUUAGACACUUCAGACUCAGUUAUAAAGGAGAUUGAGUGGUCUCCUGGAAGGGUGAGGUCUGCCCGGAAUGUCUGAGCGGCCCCAGGCAGAGAGCAGCAUUGGCUGGGCUGCGUGGCCUAUGUGGAGUUCUCACAGAUCUUCGGCAUUUCAAAGGCAGCCCUGAGGUAGCUUUCAAGACAAGUUAGCUUCCAACCCGCUUGCUGCUCCCAAAUUCCUGCUAAACGGAAACUUCGGGGCGUCCCCGCUCCAGGAAAGCCCUGGGAGAAAGAAGUUCCUGUUGGAUUAAAGCCUUACAUUUGGGAAGUUAGCCCCUCUCUUCGAGCCUCAGUUCUCCCUUUGCAAUGGGAAACUCAUCUCUGCCCCCUCAGGAUGAGUUGCAUAGCUCCUCAGCAUGCUGCAUGUGGAGAUUUCUGAGCUCUCAGAACACAGCAGUUCUCAACUAGGAGUGGAUGUCAGAAUCGCCUUGUGGGAUGCCUCCACAGCAUGGCUGAUGAGUGGAGUAGGUCCACACUCUGGUCGAACCCGAGAACCUGCACUCCACUUUGGAACUUUAACCACUGGGCCACUGGGCAGGCCCUAAAUACCAGU
rnacentral:lncRNA from 1 species